rnacentral:rRNA from 1 species
UUGACCUCAAAUCGGGUGAGACUACCCGCUGAACUUAAGCAUAUCAAUAAGCGGAGGAAAAGAAACUAACAAGGAUUCCCCUAGUAACUGCGAGUGAAGCGGGAAAAGCUCAAAUUUAAAAUCUGGCGGUCCUUGGCUGUCCGAGUUGUAAUUUAGAGAAGCGUCUUCCGCGCCGGACCGUGCACAAGUCUCCUGGAAUGGAGCGUCGUAGAGGGUGAGAAUCCCGUCUUUGGCAUGGAUGCCCGGUGCUUCUGUGAUGCGCUCUCAAAGAGUCGAGUUGUUUGGGAAUGCAGCUCAAAAUGGGUGGUGAACUCCAUCUAAAGCUAAAUAUUGGCGAGAGACCGAUAGCGAACAAGUACCGUGAGGGAAAGAUGAAAAGCACUUUGGAAAGAGAGUGAAACAGUACGUGAAAUUGUUGAAAGGGAAACGCUUGAAGUCAGUCGCGUCGUCCGAGACUCAGCCUUGCCUCGGCUUGGUGUACUUCUCGGCUCGACGGGUCAGCAUGAAUUUUGCACCUCGGAUAAUGGCAAGGGAAAGGUGGCACCUUUGCGGGUGUGUUAUAGUCUCGUGUCGCAUGCGAGGGGUGAGAUUGAGGAACUCAGCGUGCGCCUUUG